CGGCAGAAACCUAUCGGUUAUA
ensembl:miRNA mir-55 ncRNA